AUUACUGUAUGACACAGGGUGAAAGAGUGGGUUUUCUUCCACUUUAGUUAUAAGAAAGAUACAAUUAAUAAUGUUCUAAGCCAAUAUGUUUUUAACCAACCUUAUGCCGCCCACACACUAUACGACUAUCAAAGUCGUUGGAAUGCUGUUCUUUUUACACUACACAACUGUCUGUCUAAAAUGGGGUAUCUUGAAGUUGCUGUGGUUUGCACAUUACAUGAGGGAUCAGCGACAAGGGGUCACACAUUACAAAACAUUUCACUAGGAAGAAUCCCCGACAACUCUUGUCUGAUCUCCAAAAUAUGUUUCACAACAAAACGCACACAAGAUGUGAUACAGGAAAUGACGUAAGAUCACGUGUCAGACAGGAGUCCCUGCGCAAUUUCUUCCCUCUAAAAAUGGUGGUUUUGUGAUUCAAGUUGUUUGUGCACUGAUUUGCAGCGAAAAAACAAAAAAGAUAAAGAAGAAAGAAAUAUGGAGGAGAGAAUGGUUGGGGAGACGCGGGCAGCAAGGAUUGUCUGUUCUGCAGAGAGAGUUGGAGAUGCAUGAGAAGACUGGGUUCAGGGAGCUGCUGCGGAUGACACAUCAAAACACAUUUCACACUGCAGGACUUGGAGUCACAGACAGGACUCCUAUCCCGAGGUCACCAGAACCGGCCAGAUCCAGCUCCAUUCCUGCUUGGUAUCGGACACCACUGCUUCAUCACGUGUCUCUGAGUGAUGAUGACAAAAUGCAGCUGGUGCCAGCCAGACAUCACUUCAGUCUAUUACAGUGGACCUCAGAGGAUGAACUGAUUCCAACUCCAACCAUAAGACAUGGGAUACUUCAUAUGCCACUGCCUGAAUCUUGGACUUAGGACAGACUUCAACGAAAUUACUGGUCAGUUGAACUGUGAAGCACCUCACUGAUCUCAGCCUGCAUCACCUUGGUCUAAUGAUGGACUACGCUCUUAAAAUGGAAUACAUUGACUAUCAAUAAAUUGCCAACAAAAGCCUUCAUCAGCCAGCUAACAAAGAGCAAUGCAUCUAUAUGAACUUCUGCAGCUAAUCCAGGAUGAACUUCAAAGAUAUUAGUCAUUAAUCUUACAGUUCUUACAAAAUCUUUUUUUAAGCAGUGGCCUUUAACACUUACUUAGUUUAAUCAUUUUAAACCAUGACUUGCACUGUACAUAAAUAAGUAAUAUUGGCAUUAUAUUCAUGUUGUUUAGCCAGAGGGGACUGGCUCCCACAGUGAUCCUGGUUUCUCCCAAGGUUAUUUUUCUCCAUUAACCAACAUCUUAUGGAGUUUUGUGUUCCUUGCCACAGUCACCUUCAGCUUGCUCACUGGGUUUCUAAAUACAAUUAUUAUUAUACUAUUAUUAUUAUUUCAUAAUCGUAUUUAUUCAAACUACACAAUGAUGACUCUAAGACUUUAUAGAUAUUACAGUAUAAUUUUCUGUUAAUGCAUGAUUUUCUGUAAAGCUGCUUUGAAACGAUGUGUGUUGUGAAAGGCACAAUACAAAUAAAAAUGACGACUUAAUCUUUGAGAAGUAAACAAUUAACCUUUUGAGGUUUAUAUUGAUUAUUUUACAUCAGGCUGUGUGGCAGAACUCAUUUAAUGACCACCAUUGGGAAAAGCAAUGGUCAAGAAUAUGCAGAAAUUUGAGGCAAAUAUUUUUAAGCUGAUAAAAAGUAACAAAUAAUUUGUAGAUAUUUUCUAUAGAAAACUAUUUCCUCUGCAUCACUUUACCAACACUGCCUGACAAAUAUGAGGAUUUGGUCAAAAGAGGGUCUCCAAAGGUUCUUCUUCUCAAUAUUGAGACUUUCUUAAUUUUUGCUUUUGACUAAUGUAGGACACAUCCUAAGUUUUCUAUAAAGGUAUAAUAUUAUGUUAUGUGGCCUUUGGAUCAUGAUUUAACCCUCAUGCACUGUUCGGUCAUUUUUUGACCAAAAUAAAUUUUG